rnacentral:rRNA from 1 species
UCAUGAAGCCACGUCAUGCUAUGCAUGCCACCCUGAACAACUCAUGUCUGAUCUCGGAAGCUAAGUAGAGUUGGUCUUGGUUAGUACUUGGAUGGGAGACCACCUAGGAAGACCAGGUGCUGUAGGCA